GGCUCUUUGGUAAUGUAGAUAAAGAGUCGGACCUGCCCAGUGAAAAUUUUUAACGGCCGCGGUACUCUGACCGUGCAAAGGUAGCAUAAUCAUUUGCCUUAUAAUUGAAGGCUUGUAUGAAUGGUUUGACAAGAAUAUAGCUGUCUCUAUACGAUUUUGUAGAAUUUUAUUUUGAAGUGAAGAAGCUUGAAUAAAAUUGAUAGACAAGAAGACCCUAUCGAGCUUGAAAAAAGAUUAUAGAUGUUUUAAAAUAUAUCUAAAAAAUUAUCUGUGAUAAAUUUUGGUUGGGGCGACUUAGGAACAAAUUAAGCUUCCUAAAUUUACUUAAUAUAGACAAAAUGAUCCAAAAAAUUUUGAUUAAUGAAAUUAGUUACCGUAGGGAUAACAGCAUUAUCUUCUUUAAGAGUUCUUAUCGAAAAGAGGGUUUGUGACCUCGAUGUUGGACCAGAAUAUCCUAAAGAUGCAGCAGUCUUUAAGGGUUGGUCUGUUCGACCAUUAAAAUUCUACGUGAUCUGAGUUCAGACCGGCGUGAGCCAGGUCAGUUUCUAUCUUUAAUUUAAAUUAUAAAUUUAGUACGAAAGGACCAAUUUAUUAUAAUUUGUUGUGCUGGAAGAUACAAUUUAAUGAAGGUUAUUAUCAAAUUAGCAAAAUGAAUGCAUUGACUAGGAUCAAUAGA
rnacentral:rRNA from 1 species